AGAGUUUGAUCCUGGCUCAGGACAAACGCUGGCGGGGUGCAUGAGACAUGCAAGUCGAACGGGGUUGAGCGGGCUUGCUCGAUCAACCUAGUGGCGGACGGCUGAGUAACGCGUAGGUGACCUGCCCGGAAGUGGGGAAUAACUGCCCGAAAGGGUGGCUAAUACCGCAUGUGGUCGGCGAUUCGGUUCGCCGUGCAAAGCCGUAAGGCGCUUCCGGAGGGGCCUGCGUCCGAUUAGCUAGUUGGUGGGGUAAUGGCUCACCAAGGCGACGAUCGGUAGCUGGUCUGAGAGGAUGAUCAGCCAGACUGGGACUGAGAACGGCCCAGACUCCUACGGGAGGCAGCAGUCGGGAAUUUUGCCCAAUGGACGAAAGUCUGAGGCAGCAACUCCGCGUGAGGGACGAAGGCCUUCGGGUCGUAAACCUCUUUUCUCAGGGAAGAUACAAGACGGUACCUGAGGAAUAAGCCACGGCUAACUACGUGCCAGCAGCCGCGGUAAUACGUAGGUGGCGAGCGUUGUCCGGAUUUACUGGGCGUAAAGAGCGCGCAGGCGGCUGGUCAAGUCCGAUGUGAAAGCUCCCGGCUUAACUGGGAAAUUGCAUCGGAAACUGAUCGGCUGGAAGGUGGGAGAGGGUAGCGGAAUUCCCGGUGUAGUGGUGAAAUGCGUAGAUAUCGGGAGGAACACCAGUGGCGAAGGCGACUUCCUGGCCUGUUCUUGACGCUGAGGCGCGAAAGCUAGGGGAGCAAACGGGAUUAGAUACCCCGGUAGUCCUAGCCGUAAACGGUGGAUACUAGGUGUUGGUGGUAUCAACCCCGCCAGUGCCGUAGCUAACGCAUUAAGUAUCCCGCCUAGGGAGUACGGCCGCAAGGCUAAAACUCAAAGGAAUUGACGGGGGCCCGCACAAGCAGCGGAGCGUGGGGUUUAAUUCGACGCAACGCGAAGAACCUUACCAGGACUUGACAUGACCAGGACCACGGCGGAAACGUCGUCUCCCCGCAAGGGGCCUGGCCACAGGUGUUGCAUGGCUGUCGUCAGCUCGUGUCGUGAGAUGUUGGGUUAAGUCCCGCAACGAGCGCAACC
rnacentral:rRNA from 1 species